CUAGUUGGUGAGGUAACGGCUCGCCGAGGCGACGAUGCGUAGCCGACCUGAGAGGGUGAUCGGCCACACUGGGACUGAGACACGGCCCAGACUCCUACGAGGAGGCAGCAGUAGGGAAUCUUCCGCAGUGGACGAAAGUUAGACGGAGCAACGCCGCGUGAGUGAUGAAGGUUUUCGGAUCGUAAAACUCUGUUGUUAGGGAAGAACAAGUACGAGAGUAACUGCUCGUACCUUGACGGUACCUAACCAGAAAGCCACGGCUAACUACGUGCCAGCAGCCGCGGUAAUACGUAGGUGGCAAGCGUUGUCCGGAAUUAUUGGGCGUAAAGCGCGCGCAGGCGGUCCUUUAAGUCUGAUGUGAAAGCCCACGGCUCAACCGUGGAGGGUCAUUGGAAACUGGGGGACUUGAGUGCAGAAGAGAAGAGUGGAAUUCCACGUGUAGCGGUGAAAUGCGUAGAGAUGUGGAGGAACACCAGUGGCGAAGGCGACUCUUUGGUCUGUAACUGACGCUGAGGCGCGAAAGCGUGGGGAGCAAACAGGAUUAGAUACCCUGGUAGUCCACGCCGUAAACGAUGAGUGCUAAGUGU
rnacentral:rRNA from 2 species